AACGAACGCUGGCGGCAGGCUUAACACAUGCAAGUCGAACGCAUCGCAAGAUGAGUGGCAGACGGGUGAGUAACGCGUGGGAACAUACCCUUUUCUACGGAAUAGCUCUGGGAAACUGGAAUUAAUACCGUAUACGCCCUACAGGGGAAAGAUUUAUCGGGGAAGGAUUGGCCCGCGUUGGAUUAGCUAGUUGGUGGGGUAAAGGCCUACCAAGGCGACGAUCCAUAGCUGGUCUGAGAGGAUGACCAGCCUCACUGGGACUGAGACACGGCCCAGACUCCUACGGGAGGCAGCAGUGGGGAAUAUUGGACAAUGGGCGCAAGCCUGAUCCAGCCAUGCCGCGUGGGUGAAGAAGGCCCUAGGGUUGUAAAGCCCUUUCAGCGGGGAAGAUAAUGACGGUACCCGCAGAAGAAGCCCCGGCUAACUUCGUGCCAGCCGCCGCCGUAAGAC
rnacentral:rRNA from 1 species